CUUCUCUGCUUUCAUAUUUACAUGCUCGGGAGACGGCAACGCGAAGAAUCCUCCAUGGAUACCCAACGAAGUUCGACAUCGCCAGAGACUCGCAUAGACGUGAGUAUAGAAGGCACAUCAACUGAUAAAGCUCCCCAAAAUAGUCACACUUUAAUUUCAAUUCCAGACGAUGUGAGCACCACGAAUCAAUCAAAAACUAAAGGAUCCACCGAGCUCGACUCGCUUACACUCGCCAACCCACAGUCCAUAGAGUGCACAGUGUACUCCGGACCAAGCGUCAAUACUUGGGGGGAAGCUAGCACGGGAUCUCACCACCAUAGCCCCCACUUAAGACAUGUUAGCAGCUGCGACUGCAAUGAAGUGCCCAAAGCCGAACCAACUCAACUGC